AGAAGCGCAUACGGUGGAUGCCUUGGCAGUCAGAGGCGAUGAAAGACGUGGUAGCCUGCGAAAAGCUUCGGGGAGUCGGCAAACAGACUUUGAUCCGGAGAUCUCUGAAUGGGGGAACCCACCUAGGAUAACCUAGGUAUCUUGUACUGAAUCCAUAGGUGCAAGAGGCGAACCAGGGGAACUGAAACAUCUAAGUACCCUGAGGAAAAGAAAUCAACCGAGAUUCCCUUAGUAGUGGCGAGCGAACGGGGAUUAGCCCUUAAGCUUCAUUGAUUUUAGCGGAACGCUCUGGAAAGUGCGGCCAUAGUGGGUGAUAGCCCCGUACGCGAAAGGAUCUUUGAAGUGAAAUCGAGUAGGACGGAGCACGAGAAACUUUGUCUGAACAUGGGGGGACCAUCCUCCAAGGCUAAAUACUACUGACUGACCGAUAGUGAACCAGUACCGUGAGGGAAAGGCGAAAAGAACCCCGGAGAGGGGAGUGAAAUAGAACCUGAAACCGUAUGCGUACAAGCAGUGGGAGCCUACUUGUUAGGUGACUGCGUACCUUUUGUAUAAUGGGUCAGCGACUUAUAUUCAGUGGCAAGCUUAACCGUAUAGGGUAGGCGUAGCGAAAGCGAGUCUUAAUAGGGCGUUUAGUCGCUGGGUAUAGACCCGAAACCGGGCGAUCUAUCCAUGAGCAGGUUGAAGGUUAGGUAACACUGACUGGAGGACCGAACCCACUCCCGUUGAAAAGGUAGGGGAUGACUUGUGGAUCGGAGUGAAAGGCUAAUCAAGCUCGGAGAUAGCUGGUUCUCCUCGAAAGCUAUUUAGGUAGCGCCUCAUGUAUCACUCUGGGGGGUAGAGCACUGUUUCGGCUAGGGGGUCAUCCCGACUUACCAAACCGAUGCAAACUCCGAAUACCUAUGAGUACUAUCCGGGAGACAGACUGCGGGUGCUAACGUCCGUAGUCAAGAGGAAAACAAUCCAGACCGCCAGCUAAGGCCCCAAAAUCAUAGUUAAGUGGGAAACGAUGUGGGAAGGCAUAGACAGCUAGGAGGUUGGCUUAGAAGCAGCCACCCUUUAAAGAAAGCGUAAUAGCUCACUAGUCGAGUCGGCCUGCGCGGAAGAUGUAACGGGGCUCAAACCACACACCGAAGCUGCGGGUGUCACGUAAGUGACGCGGUAGAGGAGCGUUCUGUAAGCCUGUGAAGGUGAGUUGAGAAGCUUGCUGGAGGUAUCAGAAGUGCGAAUGCUGACAUGAGUAACGACAAUGGGUGUGAAAAACACCCACGCCGAAAGACCAAGGGUUCCUGCGCAACGUUAAUCGACGCAGGGUUAGUCGGUUCCUAAGGCGAGGCUGAAAAGCGUAGUCGAUGGGAAACAGGUUAAUAUUCCUGUACUUCUGGUUACUGCGAUGGAGGGACGGAGAAGGCUAGGCCAGCUUGGCGUUGGUUGUCCAAGUUUAAGGUGGUAGGCUGAAAUCUUAGGUAAAUCCGGGGUUUCAAGGCCGAGAGCUGAUGACGAGUCGUCUUUUAGAUGACGAAGUGGUUGAUGCCAUGCUUCCAAGAAAAGCUUCUAAGCUUCAGGUAACCAGGAACCGUACCCCAAACCGACACAGGUGGUCGGGUAGAGAAUACCAAGGCGCUUGAGAGAACUCGGGUGAAGGAACUAGGCAAAAUGGCACCGUAACUUCGGGAGAAGGUGCGCCGGCUAGGGUGAAGGAUUUACUCCGUAAGCUCUGGCUGGUCGAAGAUACCAGGCCGCUGCGACUGUUUAUUAAAAACACAGCACUCUGCAAACACGAAAGUGGACGUAUAGGGUGUGACGCCUGCCCGGUGCCGGAAGGUUAAUUGAUGGGGUUAGCGCAAGCGAAGCUCUUGAUCGAAGCCCCGGUAAACGGCGGCCGUAACUAUAACGGUCCUAAGGUAGCGAAAUUCCUUGUCGGGUAAGUUCCGACCUGCACGAAUGGCGUAACGAUGGCGGCGCUGUCUCCACCCGAGACUCAGUGAAAUUGAAAUCGCUGUGAAGAUGCAGUGUAUCCGCGGCUAGACGGAAAGACCCCGUGAACCUUUACUGUAGCUUUGCACUGGACUUUGAGCCUGCUUGUGUAGGAUAGGUGGGAGGCUUUGAAGCGUGGACGCCAGUUCGCGUGGAGCCAUCCUUGAAAUACCACCCUGGCAUGCUUGAGGUUCUAACUCUGGUCCGUAAUCCGGAUCGAGGACAGUGUAUGGUGGGCAGUUUGACUGGGGCGGUCUCCUCCUAAAGAGUAACGGAGGAGUACGAAGGUGCGCUCAGCGUGGUCGGAAAUCACGCGUAGAGUAUAAAGGCAAAAGCGCGCUUAACUGCGAGACCCACAAGUCGAGCAGGUACGAAAGUAGGUCUUAGUGAUCCGGUGGUUCUGUAUGGAAGGGCCAUCGCUCAACGGAUAAAAGGUACUCCGGGGAUAACAGGCUGAUACCGCCCAAGAGUUCAUAUCGACGGCGGUGUUUGGCACCUCGAUGUCGGCUCAUCACAUCCUGGGGCUGAAGCCGGUCCCAAGGGUAUGGCUGUUCGCCAUUUAAAGUGGUACGCGAGCUGGGUUUAGAACGUCGUGAGACAGUUCGGUCCCUAUCUGCCGUGGACGUUUGAGAUUUGAGAGGGGCUGCUCCUAGUACGAGAGGACCGGAGUGGACGAACCUCUGGUGUUCCGGUUGUCACGCCAGUGGCAUUGCCGGGUAGCUAUGUUCGGAAAAGAUAACCGCUGAAAGCAUCUAAGCGGGAAACUUGCCUCAAGAUGAGAUCUCACUGGGAACUUGAUUCCCCUGAAGGGCCGUCGAAGACUACGACGUUGAUAGGCUGGGUGUGUAAGCGUUGUGAGGCGUUGAGCUAACCAGUACUAAUUGCCCGUGAGGCUUGACC
rnacentral:rRNA from 1 species